rnacentral:rRNA from 1 species
UGGGGAAUAUUGGACAAUGGGCGCAAGCCUGAUCCAGCCAUGCCGCGUGAGUGAUGAAGGCCUUAGGGUUGUAAAGCUCUUUCGCCGGUGAAGAUAAUGACGGUAACCGGAGAAGAAGCCCCGGCUAACUUCGUGCCAGCAGCCGCGGUAAUACGAAGGGGGCUAGCGUUGCUCGGAAUCACUGGGCGUAAAGCGCACGUAGGCGGAUCGUUAAGUCAGGGGUGAAAUCCUGGAGCUCAACUCCAGAACUGCCCUUGAUACUGGCGAUCUCGAGUUCGAGAGAGGUUGGUGGAACUCCGAGUGUAGAGGUGAAAUUCGUAGAUAUUCGGAAGAACACCAGUGGCGAAGGCGGCCAACUGGCUCGAUACUGACGCUGAGGUGCGAAAGCGUGGGGAGCAAAACAGGAUUAGAUACCCUGGUAGUCCACGCCGUAAACGAUGGAUGCUAGCCGUUGGGGGGUUUACCUCUCAGUGGCGCAGCUAACGCCUUAAGCAUCCCGCCUGGGGAGUACGGUCGCAAGAUUAAAACUUAAAUGAAUUG